GGCCACCACCUUCAGCUGAGUGUAGUGCUCUACUUGAGAGGGUGACAUUCACAGAUACUGGACAUGACUGUCACCUUUUUUGAGUACAGUAAUGCACAUUUUAUACAAUCUAUAUGGU
rnacentral:precursor_RNA from 12 species